rnacentral:rRNA from 1 species
GACGAACUGUGCAAACGUUAUUCGGAAUCACUGGGCUUGAAGAGUGCGUAGGCGGUUUCGUAAGUAGGGUGUGAAAGCCCUCGGCUCAACCGGGGAAUUGCGUCCUAAACUGCGAGGCUGGAGUGAGGUAGGGGUGUGCGGAACUUCCAGUGGAGCGGUGAAAUGUGUUGAUAUUGGAAGGAACGCCGGUGGCGAAAGCGGCACACUGGACCUUGUCUGACGCUGAGGCACGAAAGCCAGGGGAGCAAACGGG